rnacentral:rRNA from 1 species
AACGAACGCUGGCGGCAUGCCUAACACAUGCAAGUCGAACGAGACCUUCGGGUCUAGUGGCGCACGGGAGCGUAACGCGUGGGAACCUGCCCUUAGGUUCGGAAUAACUCCCCGAAAGGGGUGCUAAUACCGGAUAAUGUCUUCGGACCAAAGAUUUAUCGCCUUUGGAUGGGCCCGCGUUGGAUUAGCUAGUUGGUAGGGUAAAAGCCUACCAAGGCGACGAUCCAUAGCUGGUCUGAGAGGAUGAUCAGCCACACUGGGACUGAGACACGGCCCAGACUCCUACGGGAGGCAGCAGUGGGGAAUAUUGGACGAUGGGCGAAAGCCUGAUCCAGCAAUGCCGCGUGAGUGAUGAAGGCCUUAGGGUUGUAAAGCUCUUUUACCCGGGAUGAUAAUGACAGUACCGGGAGAAUAAGCUCCGGCUAACUCCGUG